UACGGGGGGAGCAAGCGUUGUUCGGAUUUACUGGGCGUAAAGGGCGCGUAGGCGGCUUGGCAAGUGGAAGGUGAAAUCCCUCGGCUUAACCGAGGAACUGCCCUCCAAACUGCUUCGCUUGAGACCGGGAGAGGUGAGUGGAAUUCCCAGUGUAGCGGUGAAAUGCGUAGAUAUUGGGAGGAACACCAGUGGCGAAGGCGGCUCACUGGACCGGUACUGACGCUGAUGCGCGAAAGCGUGGGGAGCGAACAGG
rnacentral:rRNA from 1 species